GAAGGCCUGGCCAGGCUCUCACGUGGUCUGCCUCUGCGCCUGCGCUCUUGGGCAGCUGCAGCGGCCACCUGGAGAGCAGAGCAGCCAGUGCGCCGCCCACCUGGAAAGAUUCUCUCUAGAUCCAAAGAAAAACAAGAGGGUUCUUUUUGCCUUCUACUCCUCAAAACACACCAGCAGCUCAGCAAUUGGAGGGGAGCCUGAAGGACAAAAACAUUGCUAUCUCAUAGAGCAACGGUAUAAGAGCCAAUAGAGACUCCUGGCGCUGGAAGUCACGGAUCCGAAAGAAGGCGCCCAAUCAUUUGGUUUCUUUGGAUCGUUAUUGAGUCUUCUGUCAUCAUAGUUCUACCCUCCUACUCGAAUGCCUUCCGUGGGGCCCUUACCCUUGCUCUCCUCUGCCUGGAAUGCCCGCCUCUUCUUGCACUCAAGCCCCUGGGUUCUAUUCAGAUGCUCCAGUUACAAAUGACAGAUCCAAAAUUGUCUUCUGGAAGAAACAUCACAAAACUUCAAAGAAAUUAGAAAAAAGUUACCUACAUAGGCAGAGAAUUCAACUGUGAGUUGACAAUUAUUUACGAUUCUCUUAACUGGCUGUUUCACAACGUUAUGGAGCUAAGAAAGGAUGAAAGCUUACCACUGCUUGGAUACCAGCUGGAUAAGCAGCUUGGAAUGUCAAAUAUAUAACAAGAAAGGAAAUAUUCUACUUUAAAGGAACAUG